ACGAUUCAUCUGACGCUGCUCUAACCUGGCCUGUCAGUGUGUGGCGGGAUUCCGGGAGCGCCUCUCCACGUCCCCGUCACUCCUAAGCGAUUAAUUGCUAAUGUUUAUGUAAGACAGAAGAAAAGGAUGUCAUUCCGUAAAGUAAACAUCAUCAUCUGGGUCCUGGCUGUUGUUCUCUUCUUACUGGUUUUGCACCAUAACUUCCUCAGCUUGAGCAGUUUGUUAAAGAAUGACGUUUCAGACCAUUCAGACUGCGUUCCCUCCCUCUCACCCUCCCGAAGGAGAGAAGAACAAUCAUCAAUGGCAAGAGGCAGCUGCACAGAAGCAGCACCUAGAGCCGGCUUCACGCUCAGGAGGGGACGCUGGGACGCUACGACUCGUCCUUGUGGGAAGAUAUGUUUUCUUAAUAACUUUUAAUUUUAGAUGGCAAUCCCACAGUAGGAACUGAAUUUCUUGCAGCAUAGACUGGUUAUGAUUUAUAUGUUUUUUUUGUUUUGUUUUGUUGGAUUUGUUUUUGUCGAGACAGGGUUUCUCUGUGUAGCCCUGGCUGUCCUGGAACUCACUCUGUAGACUAGGCUGGCCUCGAACUCAGAAAUCCACCUGCCUCUGCCUCUCAGAGUGCUGGGAUUACAGGCGUGCACCACCACCGCCCUAUAAUUUGUAUGUUGUAUUUAUAGUUAUAACACCAGUGAUGGACCACCUUGGCGUACC